CAUGGCUGAUGGUCGUCGUGACUCGGUGACAUGGGCGCCCACGCGGAGGGGGCUCCCGGUGGCCGGCGUGGACGUCCUUGCGGGCGAGGCACGACCGUUGCUCUGCACCUGCGUCCUCGCCAACGACAUGAGCCGGUAACAAAUCCGUGACAAUGGUACCCGAACAAACCUGCUUGGGGAUUGUCGCCCGUCUGGCCACCCGGACCCAUGCAUCAGAGACAGACGGCAAGAAUCGCCAGACCGUGUGGCUCUGAUCUGGCCGCGUCCAGCGAGGACCAAGUGGAUGGAUGCCACUAUGGCAGUAGGCAUCUUGUCUGGACUCCCAAACGCUGUCUGAUUCUACUACUACCCGAUUUGUACCGGAGGAGCAUAGGCGGCUGCAUCAGGCCGGCUGUCCUUGCCGCCGCUGCGGGUCUCGUCUCCUGUGCGGUGCACCGGGGUUCCCGUGCAACGACCGCCGACGAGACGAGGGAGGCCGGUGCCAGGAGCGAUGAGGCGCCCUGCGGCCAUGAAUCCAUCUCCAGCGUCGGCGACUCGGCGUGCUGCUGGAUUCAGCCUACUCGCGCAGGGCAGGGUGGAGUGGAGAUGCACCGCCCGCCGCGUCGCAUACGUUGACUAUUGUAGCAGGAGAAGGGGCCUCCGUGGCCCCGUGGAUCGGAGGAGCACAGCCGGAGUUGCUGCCUGCCUGCUGUUUGUCGAGCGACCGACAGGUUUCGUUUGCAAUUUAAUAGGCCAAGAUGAUGAAUGUUGAAGCAAUGGGCAUUAUUGGAAACAAGUUGCCUCCUGAUGUCAAGAUUUGCCAGAGUGUAUCUUCCAUUGAAACCACUGUUGCAAAACCGGGACUUGCCAGAGCAUGUCUUUCGCUGAAACUAGUAGCUUCAAAGUCCCCUUCUACCACUAAAUUAGGUUUGAUUUUCAUGAGCACAUGCUACCAUUUACAAUAUGAAUUUUCAUUCUGUACCAUGAGAAAAAUAAGUCAUACUGUCCAAGCAUGCAGAGUCGUUGUCGCUGGGCUUAACCUGCUCCAUGCUAUAUGCUAUACUUAAUAUGGCUAUACCAUUUAUCAUUGUAGUGUUCUGAUUCUUAUUCAGUACCUUGUUAGUAUUUGGCAGGAGAAAUGGGGCGCGCCCGGAUUCGAACUAUACUCUCCCUGAUUCACAGGAGGUGCAACUAGUCAAUGUGCUAGGCACGUGCUUGUGACAAAUGAGAAGGGAGGUGUUUCUUAACUCAAAGCAAGUCGGGUUUUUCACUAGUUAUUCUUUUUUUUUCAAUUUUUUUUGCUUUUUCUCCGUUUUUCUCCCUUUUCUCCAUUUUUUGUGUUUCUUAUGUUUGUUUUUGUUUUCAUUCUUCAUUUUUCGUAUAUGCCCAAAACAUUUUUGUAAUAAGUGAUUAACUUUUUUUGCAUACACGUUCAACAUUGUCCGAACGCUUAUUUAACAUUUUUCAAAAACUUUUCAAUAUUUUCAAAAACUUGUUCAACAUUUUUCAUACAAAAAUAAAGCAGAAAAUGAUAACAGAAAACAGAAAAAACAAUAGGCCGUGGCUCUCCGCGGCUGGGCCGGCCCGUCUAGGACGCUGAACGCGAGAAAAUUAGCAGCCCCCUGCCGCCCGUGCCGGCCCGUUUAGUUGCCUUUGUGCCUCGCAGAUCCCGAACCGCCCCGCCGCCACUCGCUCACAUCCCAUUCCCCCCGCGAGCCGGAAAGCCCUAGCCCGCAGGAGCCGCCGCCGCCUCCUCCUCCUCGCAGGCUCUCCGUCACGCUCGCCCCUCUCCGGCCAUGGAUGAUUCUCUCUACCCGGUCCUGUCUGUGUUCACCCUCUUCGUCCGCUUGACGCCUGCAGCACCCUUCUCGUCGGUACCUCUCUGAUUCUUUCACCUCCACAUCUCUCUCCGCCGGGUACAAAGAUGGCGCACCAGAGGAGGAUAUCACAGUUUGGCAGCGUUAUAACAAAUUACUGUUGGAUGCUGUUGGCAUCUUCGGGUUUCUUCUUAGGCGUAUUCGCAGUGACUACUAUUGCCCCUGUACAUCCUAGAUUGAUGAUCCCUGUUCCUGGCACAGCUGAUUGUUCUACUGCUUGUCCCAUUGAUUGUGUUUGCUCACCAUCCACAUCAACAACGGUUGCGGAUAGGCUGAAAUAUGAUAUUGCUAUCUGGAAUAGGUUUCUUAUUGCGUUCUGUCUAUCAGCAGUGUACUUUGUGUUUUUGGCAAAGCAACGUGUGGACGCUGCUGCCAAAGCUGAGGACAGGGCAGCCAGCGACGAGGACAAAGCCUACAAGUCCGCUCUUGAGGAUCUGAGUGCGCCGCGUACUGCCGUCAAAGAAGCCGCAGAAGCCCACGCACUGGCUCUUGAGAUGUUCCCCCCUCCUGCAGAAGGUGCUUUGGAUCCCCAUGUCAUUGCUGCCGAGAAGACCCAUUGUGAUGCUGUUCGAGCGUUUAUGAGCGCCACGGAGGAGGCUGAGAAGAAAAGACCCAUAGUUGGUAUUGCUCGAAUGGGUGAUGUGGAAAGGAGGAUUGUGCGUGGACUCUUUUUCCUAUCUGUUCUUGUCAAUAUGGGCGCCGGAAUAUGCGCAGCCGGUGCAUUCUUCCGUUCUGUUGAGCUGCAGAUGGGAAACCCCGCAGAGUUUGGUACACUUGUAGUGUUUGCAGUACCGGGAGUCCCAAUGAUCGUGUCACAUCUCUUUUGCCUCUUCGUGGCUGUGAAGGAGGACUAGAAUGGAGAUGGCGAAGCACGCAGUGCAGGCAGCUUGUGUUUGGUAGGAUCCCUGAUUUGUUCCUGGAAGGUGCUUUGCGUCGGCACCCAAGCUACAUGGCUCCCCGAAUGUCUUGACGCUGAUCUUGUUUUCUUAGCUGGUUGAAAAAACGCUGUUAUGCGCAUUAUCUGUAAUAAGUAUUCUGCUGCAGCUACUGUCUGGUUGUAGCCGAGAGCUGUUUGAACUGAUAUUGGUCGGCUGUGCCUUGUGUAAUAAGUAUUCUCCUGCAGCUACUGUCUGGUUGUAGCCGAGAGCUGUUUGAACUUAUACUGGUCGGCUGUGCCUUGGCUGUUUUAACAAGUUGGGGCUGGGGCGAGACCCCUUUGAAUUUUCACUACCAAUAUACUGUGGGUUGUGGAUAAAGGUAUGAAUUAUAUUUUCAUUGUCACAUGCUCUAAUCACUACAAUUUCCAAGCUCCCAGGAAUUGGAGGCCUGGGAGCGCUCGAGCUUUUUUUGUACGAGCUGGACCCCUCUGGUCAAUGGGAGGACAUGGGGUUCUGAGCUUGUCAAACAUUUGCUUCCUAUCGCUCCUGCAGUGAAAAUUCACGAAUACGUGGGGAAUCCUCUCUUUAUUUAUUUACGCCGGCGCUGCUCUCUUUCGCGUGCUCCAGUAUCCUCUGCGUUGCUGCUGUUGCUCUGCUGCUAAUCCUUGAUCUGUAAGGAGUUCGGUUCCCUGUCACGGCCGGGCGCUGUGGGGGUCACCGGUGGGCAAGCUUUGGCCGCGGAGAUGGGCUCGGGAGCCACCACGAGAGCGAGAUGGACCUGGCCAUGUUCAUCAGCAAGUUUUUGGAGAGCGGCAGUGGAGGAGGCGGAAACUCGCGCGGCAGCAGCGACGGCAAGCUCGGUGGACUCCCUGACCUCACCGACAAGAUAUCGGUUGGAGAAACAUUUCAGGAAUCACUUAUAUAUCGGUUAAUUUCAAAUUGAUGUGUCGUUACUACUACAUUUUUAAUACAAGUUACCUGCAAAUGUACAAGCAAGAUAGCUGGAGAUGAGAAAUAAAACGAGCUGCUCUUAGUGGUUCACUCUCUUAUUUCCGAUCCUCGAGACUGAGCUCCUGGAUUUCGUAAGAGGUCAUUGUACUGGCAGCUGCAUCUAUCAUCUACUUGUGAAGCUCCUGAGAUACUCGGGGUACGACGCGGCGGUCUGCAUGUACAAAUGGCAGGGGUUCAACAAGAUACCUGGAGGUGAUCAUGAGUACAUUGAUGUCAUAAGGGACAACGGUUUGACGAGUCCAGAGCGUCUAAUUGCGAAUACGCAUGGAUAGGAAGAAAAGAGUUCAAGCAGUUACCUGAAGCAUAGGAAGGGGAGAGCACCACACUGUGUGGGGAAAAGAUCAGAACAAAGGGUGCUCAGCCUAUGAAGAACCCUAACUCUCUGGAAGCCAAACAAAGAGCGUCUGAUCAUCGGCAUUGACUUCAAGAGCCACUUUGAAAUAACGGGAGCAGCUCCGCUGGACUCGCUUCCGGUGGUCUACGUCGGCACCCUUUCCAGCUUGAAGCAGAAAAAUGAUCCCUGAAGCAGAACUCGGUGCCCCUGCCCCGGUGGAGAUCAGGAUGAACAACAUUUGUCCUUAAAUCCUUUAAGCUCCCUAGAUUUGAGCUCUUUUGGUGAAUCGAGCAUUAUGGGGAUUGCAUGGACCCCUUCGACACAGGUGGCUCCUGUAGGAGGGCGAGCUGUCAGGUGAAUCGCUGUGUGUGUGGCCCCUGGAAGGGCGGUGUUGGGGAUUAGGGUGGAUCUUAUUCGACGUCAAACGAACGCACAAGUCGUUGCUCCAAUGGACCG